UACGUAGGGUGCAAGCGUUGUCCGGAAUUAUUGGGCGUAAAGAGCUCGUAGGCGGCUUGUCGCGUCGGUCGUGAAAACCUGCAGCUUAACUGUGGGCUUGCGGUCGAUACGGGCAUCACUGGAGUUCGGCAGGGGAGACUGGAAUUCCUGGUGUAGCGGUGAAAUGCGCAGAUAUCAGGAGGAACACCGGUGGCGAAGGCGGGUCUCUGGGCCGAUACUGACGCUGAGGAGCGAAAGCGUGGGGAGCGAACAGG
rnacentral:rRNA from 1 species